rnacentral:rRNA from 1 species
CCGUAAUCGGAAUGAGUACACUUUAAAUCCUUUAACAAGGAUCCAUUGGAGGGCAAGUCUGGUGCCAGCAGCCGCGGUAAUUCCAGCUCCAAUAGCGUAUAUUAAAGUUGUUGCGGUUAAAAAGCUCGUAGUUGGUUCUGCGUGCCGCGCUGUCGGUUCGCCGCCUGUCGGUGUUACUGGCAUGUCGCGGCAUGUCCUGUCGGUGGUGAAUGGAAUCCCCAGGACUUCUUAGGCUUCAUAGCUUAUGUAUGUUCUGUAAGGACUCCAUUUGCCGAUUUCUCCUACUCCGGUGCUCUUAAACGAGUGUCGAGGUAGGCCGACACGUUCACUUUGAACAAAUUAGAGUGCUUAAAGCAGGCUGAAAUAUCUGCCUGAAUAGUGGUGCAUGGAAUAAUAAAAUAGGACCUCGGUUCUAUUUUAUUGGUUUUAGGAAUAUGAGGUAAUGAUCAAUGUGGACUGGCGGGGGCAUUCGUAUUGCGACGUUAGAGGUGAAAUUCUUGGAUCGUCGCAAGACGCACUAGAGCGAAAGCAUUUGCCAAGUAUGUCUUAAUUGAUCAAGAACGAAAGUUAGAGGUUCGAAGGCGAUCAGAUACCGCCCUAGUUCUAACCAUAAACGAUGCCAGCCAGCGAUCCGCCGAUGUUCCAAUAAUGACUCGGCGGGGAGCUUCUACCCGGGAAACCAAAGCUUUUGGGUUCCGGGGGAAGUAUGGUUGCAAAGCUGAAACUUAAAGGAAUUGACGGAAGG